rnacentral:lncRNA from 1 species
CAUUUCGCAACACCUACGGCUUCCACUAGAUGUCAACGAUCUUUAUAAAGUUGUUUGAAGCGUCUAUGAUAAACAGAGAGCAAAUUAGAAUCCAAGGAAGUUGACAUGUCAUCACUUCAUUUUUUUGCGCCUGCGCAUAAAUCUGAGAAACGUGAGUUUGUCAUCAUUUUUUAUCUAGACAUAGGAUAGGUUGUGUGAAAAUAUUACUGAUGUUUAACGUUAAAAAUGGACCAAAAGAUUAAUGCUAAACAACAUUUGACAUGUUUGAACGAACAUAAAUAGAUUAUUUACUAGGUUUUUUUAGCUUUUCGGCGUGAUUUUACCAGCCCCCCACCACGUUUUGUGGGAGCAUAAUGAACGCUAAGUACUUGGUGUUAUUUGGACAUAAAUUAUGAACUUUGUCAAAAGAAACCACAUUUGUUCCGGACCUGGGAUGCCUUCCGGACCUGGGAUGCCUGCCUUCUGAUGGAGAUAAUCAAAGAAACUGUCCUCCGCAGAGAGAAAUAACGUCGGUGAUCGGGAGCUCCUGGUGGUGAAGUUGGCAUUAGAAGAGCGGAGACACUGGCUGGAGGGCACCAAGGAUCCAUUCAUCAUCCUCACCAACCAUCGGAACCGAGAAUUCAUACGAACAGCAAGGAGACUGAAUCCGCACCAAGCCAGUUAGGCACUUUUCUUCACCAGGUUCAACUUCACGCUGACCUAUCGCCCAGGUUCUAAGAAUACCAAGGCUGAUGCUCUGUCCCACAUCUACGAUUCGGAAGAGGUUCCUGUCCAGAGGGCACCCAUAAUUCCAUCCUCCCAAGUCAUGGGUCCAGUGGUUUGGGAUGUAGAUGUGGACAUGCGCCAGCCUCUAGAGAGUUAGCCAACACCCCGGAAUUGUCCUCCUGAGCGCAUCUAUGUUCCCACAGGGAUAAGGGAUCGGCUGUUGACCUGGGCACAAACAGCGGUCGUCGCUGGACAUCCAGGUAUUUCUCACACCACCCACUCCAUCGCUGAGAAGUACUGGUGGCCCACGUUGGUGCAGGAUGUCACUCGCAGGUAUUCCGGCAUUAUGGCCUUCCAGAUGAC